rnacentral:lncRNA from 1 species
GACAAAUGGCUUCCAGGAAUGAGAGUCUUCAGGUAGUGGCACUGGUCUAUUAACAGGUCACACUCUGAGCAUUCUGGCAGGGGAGUGAGCUUCUCCUUCAAUUGUCUUCUGAGCUCCACAACUUCUCCUCUAAGCUGGCUCUCUGAUGCAUGUCUCAAGUAAACUUCCUUUUUCAGUUGGAUGUCUUUGUCUCUGAGUUGCUUCUCCAAGUCUCUUAUCUUCUUCUGAUAACUG